AGAGUUAAAUUCUGGCACAAAAUAGAGUAUUUGGUCUUUUAAGAAAAAAUCUUACACAAAAUAUAUUUAACUAAGCUAUUUUCUUUCUGGAACAAACAAUGCACGCCUGUAGGGACCCGAAAGAUGGUGAACUAUGUCUGAGCGGGGCGAAGCCAGAGGAAACUGUGGUGGAGGCUCAAAGCGAUACUAACGUGCAAAUCGUUUGUCUGACUUUGGUAUAGGUGCAUAAGACUAAUUGAACCAUCUAGUAGCUGGUUCCCUCCGAAGUUUCCCUCAGG
rnacentral:ncRNA from 1 species